CCUACGGGCGGCAGCAGUGAGGAAUACUGGUCAAUGGACGAGAGUCUGAACCAGCCAAGUAGCGUGAAGGAUGACUGCCCUAUGGGUUGUAAACUUCUUUUAUAUGGGAAUAAAAUGUUCCACGUGUGGGAUUUUGUAUGUACCAUAUGAAUAAGGAUCGGCUAACUCCGUGCCAGCAGCCGCGGUAAUACGGAGGAUCCGAGCGUUAUCCGGAUUUAUUGGGUUUAAAGGGAGCGUAGGUGGAUUGUUAAGUCAGUUGUGAAAGUUUGCGGCUCAACCGUAAAAUUGCAGUUGAAACUGGCAGUCUUGAGUACAGUAGAGGUGGGCGGAAUUCGUGGUGUAGCGGUGAAAUGCUUAGAUAUCACGAAGAACUCCGAUUGCGAAGGCAGUUCACUGGACUGCAACUGACACUGAGGCUCGAAAGUGUGGGUAUCAAACAGGAUUAGAUACCCUUGUAGUC
rnacentral:rRNA from 1 species